rnacentral:rRNA from 1 species
UCGGGAAUAUUACGCAAUGGAGGAAACUCUGACGCAGUGACGCCGCGUAUAGGAUGAAGGUUUUCGGAUUGUAAACUAUUGUCAUUAGGGAAGAUAAAAGACAGUACCUAAGGAGGAAGCUCCGGCUAACUACGUGCCAGCAGCCGCGGUAAUACGUAGGGAGCAAGCGUUAUCCGGAUUUAUUGGGUGUAAAGGGUGCGUAGACGGGAAAUUAAGUUAGUUGUGAAAGCCCUCGGCUUAACUGAGGAAUUGCAACUAAAACUGGUUUUCUUGAGUGCAGGAGAGGUAAGUGGAAUUCCUAGUGUAGCGGUGAAAUGCGUAGAUAUUAGGAGGAACACCAGUGGCGAAGGCGACUUACUGGACUGUAACUGACGUUGAGGCACGAAAGUGUGGGGAGCAAACA